UCUGCUCUACCCUAUCCAAAGGCUGAAGGUUUUUUGUGCCUGCCUCCUGCCUGCAGGUUACAGUGCUAAUGAGCCUGUCUUGUCUCCUCUGAACAAUCUGUGCUGGAGUUGGAAUAUAUUUCCUGUGGUUCAUCAGAAGAACUGGCAAGCAAACAAAGCUGACAGAUGUAGUUCAGACUUGUGAGGAUUUCCUGUUGCAAAAGUUUGGCAUUCACUAACAUUUCCUGGUGGUGUAGAAAAGCCAGAAGAGUACUGGGUUGUUGUGAUGGUUUGCCUGAAGAUUCCUCCUGUGGAUCUAAGUAGAUGGUGAUUUGAAUUAUAUGUCCUUCAAGGACUGCUAAUGAAAAGCCAUAGUGUUCUGGAGGAGGUACAGAUGGCCUCUGAAGGAUGGUUGUAUGAUGCUUCAUUCAGUGGGAUUCCGACUCAUCAUACCCAGCCUGUUACCUCAGAGACAGAAGCUGAUGUUUUAAAUAUGAUCGUGGAGCUGAGUACCUUCUGGAGCAGUCACGCUGCAUCUUGGAUGAAUACCAAAGCUGCUGAGCGCUCAGCACUGCGACAGUCUCCAAGGGAGCUAGAAAUGUAUGACCCAGGAAGACCCACAGCUCCCGAAUUCACCGGGAAACAUAGCAGCUCUUUCAUCCCAAGCUAACGAAAACCUUUCCAUUAGAGCAGGUUUUUCCUAAUCAAAUACCUCUGUGUCAAAAGAUUGUUUGAGAAUUUGUGAUUUAUGUGUUCAAGGAGACUGAGGAAAGGGGUCUUCUGCUAAACAUUCAGUUUCUUUACCCUGAAUAAUCAUUCCUUCCCCAAAUUCAUGCUUUGAUGUAAA